UUGUGCUUUUCGGUUUAGCAGUUGGACAGUUAACUGGUGCUCCUGUAGCAGGUAUUUUAUAUGAACACCAGAAAACAUAUGAUACUUCCUUCAUCCUUGCCGGAUCUAUGAUGAUAGCAAGUGCCUUAAUAAUGAUUUAUCCUCUGAAAACUGAUCUCAACCCUUCAAAACUAAAUAAACAAAAUGAAAAUAACAUAGAAAUGAAUAUUGAAGAAAUCGAUUCAAUAAACGAAGAAAUGCUUACCGUUUUUGAUCCAAUAUCAAUGUCCGUCGUUUAGGGAAGCAGAACAAGUCUUCAAAGUGGAAACAUCGACAAUUUACAUUGUGCAGGGAAAUAUUAUCACAGUUCUAAUGGUUUACGUAAUAUAGAUACAAUGAAUAAGCGUUGAUUCUUGAAAAAGAAACCAUGAGCCCGGAGGGCGAAUGGUUUGUUUUUCAUGAAUCAACGCUUAUCCAUUGUAUCUAUAAUUAAACUAUGGUGUUAAUUUCUUUUCAAAAUUAAAGCCUUUUCUUAAUUAGAAGGUAUUGAUAGUGAGUUUAAAUAACCAUGGUUUCAUGUUCAACGAUGCAUUACUAAAUAUAAGAUCACAAAUAAUUGGUUAGAAAAUUAAAAUAUAAAUAUAACACAA